UCUAAUGUGGCAGAAUAGUGCAACGAAAUUAAGCCUCGUUUAUAAAGUAAUUACUUUUUUUAGAA
rnacentral:tRNA from 1 species